GACGAACGCUGGCGGCGUGCUUAACACAUGCAAGUCGAGCGGUAAGGCCCUUUCGGGGGUACACGAGCGGCGAACGGGUGAGUAACACGUGGGGGACCGUGCCCUCAGCUCUGGGAUAAGCCUGGGAAACCGGGUCUAAUACUGGAUAUGACUCCAUGACGCAUGUUGUGGGGUGGAAAGCCUUGUGCGGCUGAGGAUGGGCCCGCGGCCUAUCAGCUUGUUGGUGGGGUGAGGCCUACCAAGGCGACGACGGGUAGCCGGCCUGAGAGGGCGACCGGCCACACUGGGACUGAGACACGGCCCAGACUCCUACGGGAGGCAGCAGUGGGGAAUCUUGCGCAAUGGGCGAAAGCCUGACGCAGCGACGCCGCGUGAGGGAUGA
rnacentral:rRNA from 1 species